UCCUUAAUAAUGUCACUGUACUGUGCGCUAUCUUUGGUGCCAUUUUGGGGCUUCUUAAUCUCCUUCAUCAAUUACUGAUUUUUUCCUUUCUCAGAUUUAGGGUUUUUAUGUUUGAUUUUCUUGUCAUCGGUAGGAUUUAGGGUUUUUUGUGUUUGGAUUUUCCUAUCAUCGGUAAGGUAAUUUCUGAAUUUUGUUAUCUUAUACAGUUUUCCUAGGGCAAAACUCAACAGCCGAAUCCCCGUAGAUUUGUUUCGCCGAUUUUCUAUUCUCAAUGCACUUUGCGUUCCGGAACGCAAUUAUUCAUCUUUGUUUUUAGUUUUACGGACGUUUUUUUAAAAUGGUUUCCUCAGUGUUCGUUGUAGUUUGGAAUUCUAAUUUGUUCAUUAUUGAUAGAAGUUUUGAUAUUUUUGGGUUUUCAAGGUUUUGUAACACUAUUGAUGGAUGUUGAUUCGUAAACCAUAAUUUUUAUUCUGUUCUGUGCCUUUUAUGGAUGAUUCUGUGUUAUACUUGGGACCAAAGAAAUAGUGUCUUAUAAAUUGUUUAGAAGUAUAUAACGUGAAAUGUGAAGAAUUAAUUGAAAUGGGUUUUUGAAAUGUUAUUUGAUUCUGAUUUAGUAUUUUAGUUGAUUUUGUUGUUUGUAUCUUGUUGCAUGUUUCAUAUUUGCCGGUAGACAAUGAUUCUUCACAAAUGUCAAUUGAUGGAUUAUUUUGUUGCUUGGUGCUACAUUUUUUGAUGCUAUUUGAUUUAUAUGUCUGUGAUGAAUCAGUUUAUAUGGUUUCUUGUCCAUUUGUUUCCGUUCAAAUUUUAAUGUGUUGACUGAAGGUUUUGAUGCUCCGACUCUUUUUACUAGAAUAAUAUUGGUGCUUGGGGUUGUCUCGUUUAUCUCUAUUAACUAGAAGGUUCUAAUACAAAUUUAUGUUGAUAUAUUGUAGUUGUUUCACAGUUAUGCUUAUUAAGGUAUUACGGCUGACACGGAUUUGCAUUUUCAAUUGCCUCAUUGUAUUGGUUAAAGGCGUUACUUGUUAAAAUUUCUUCGUUGAGUAUCUUAUUUCUUAGCCAUUUCUUAUAUUAUGGUAUAUAGGAUCAAGUACUAAGCAGCUGUUCGAUGCAGUGGUGUUUGGAUUCUGCUGUUGACGUUUUGACUCAACUUUUUGUAAUGCACUAAUAUUCUAUUAAUCACUUUCAUUUCUUCUAGAUGAUAAUUAAAUUUAUUGCAAUGCAUGUGAUACUAUUUUUGAUGAUCUGGGUGGAUAAGCAAAUGCUUUAAUGGUCGUUUACUAAACUACUGUCAUAUUUUAUUCUAAUCUACUUUUAUUACUGUUUGUUAGGCUUGUGACUUAAGUUGUUUAGAAUCCUGUAUCUACAGCGUUGCUUGAAUGAGCAAGUUCAAGUACCGGAGGUUAUCGGGCAUGACUAGAAGUCAUGUGCACUUUGCCCGCGCAGGUUCUAUUCCUGCCGUUCACGUUGCAAACUCGCAAUUUUAUGUACUUCGUUAUGCAUGUUGCUGCUCAAGAACAUUAUUUUUGAAACAAGAAUGUUUAUGGAUGUUUGUACAAUUUUUCUUCGUUAAAAGUUAAACCAGAAUCAUAUGGUCACUUUUAUCUUAUUUACUUAGAACUUGUCACUUUUAUCUUAUAGUAGUGAUAUUCAGACAAUUUCGCUUAUACAUAUUCCCAAUUUUAAAAGUGAAGCCAACUAGACAUGUGUAUAUCUUAAACUAUUCUUUUGUCUUUAAAGUACUGUGAAUUAAUUUGCUUUGCCAGCUCAGGUUUGAAUCCUACCGCUCAUGUUUAUUCUUCUUAGUUCAAGUUUUAAUGGGGAGUGCUGGACGUUUGUCUGAAUGACUGAAUGAUUAUGGAAGAGCUUCUUUUUUUCUGAUAAUUAUCUUGAUUCUGAUGCACUCUUUGUUUCCCAUUAUGUUUGACUUCAUGAUUUGCUCCAAGCGAUACGCAAUGAAAUACAAAUGUCUUAUUUUAUUGUAAAAUCAUUAUUUGGAGUCCUGACAAUCGCUUGUGGUGGUGACUUUGUGAGCAUGUUCUUUAUGAAUGCAGGAUUAGUAUUAGUGUAGAUGAUUUGGGAGUUUUUCAAUAUGAAAUGGAAAUGGCAAUGUGGUUAUUUGGCAUGAGUAGAAAUUGUGUUGUUUCUGUCUACGCACAUCAAAAUCUUGUUGUUCAGGUUUCUAUUUUCACCAUUUGUCUGUGCUAUUGAUGCAAUUUUGUUACUUGAAAUUUUAUAAAUUCAGUCUGUUGAGUGGUGAUGAUACAUGGUCUUACAUUGAAUUGUUGUCGUAAAUUUCAAAUCUCUUCGCAGAGUGUUGAAACUUGAAUUCAUGUAUUGGUGAUAGUUCGACGAAAAACACUCUACACAUUCUUUUUAUUAGAAGUGUAAACUGAGUAGACAUUUGAAUAUGUGCGGCUAUAUCCUACUAUUUUAAACUGUUUGUUUGUUUUUGGAGUACUGUUUAAUUAAUUUCUGUUAAGUAUUGCAUUCUAUUGACACGAAAACAAAGAUGCCCCCAAUAUUCAGCCCUACUGCACUGGUUGAUUGAUAUCUCAUCAGUUUUUAUGUUAUUGUUUAGAUUUUGAGCUUCGCUGACAAUAUGUUUAUUUUUUGUGAAACCGGAAUAUUUUGUUGUCAUGACCAAAAAUACUUCGGCUACCUUUGAUCUUCUUUGCCUCAUAGCUCAGAUAUAAGAUUAAAGUGAAAGUGUACGAGGUUGGUUGAAUUGAUUGCUGGAAAUAUGUUCAUUUUCCUUCACAAGAAGAUGAAUUAACUUAAAACUCCUGCUUCUAAAUUAAGUGGAUAUGCUAGAGUGAUUAUCUGUUCUGACUUGAAAUUAUGGGGCCUUUGCUCACGCAGGUUUGAAUCCUGUCGUUUUUUCUUGUGGAAUAGAAGGUUGACCAUGUGGAAGGUGAGGUAUGUGUAUUUCAGGGUGACUGAAGGUUCUGUAGCUAUUUUAAUGUGAUAAGAAGGCCUAUGGUAAUAAGUUUUUGAUGUUCCUUUCCUUUUUUCUUUACAUUGCAUUAUGCCAUCAUCCUGCUAUUUUUCAUGUGCUCAAUUGUUUAAUUUCUGUAAACUUGUAUGUUAUCAGCUGGGAAUUUGACAAGUAUGACAAAAGAUAUCUUCAGCUACUGCCUGAAUGAUGUGCAUAGUUCAACAUGGGAUGCAUGAGCCGGAGUGGUCAUCUGGCUUGACUUGAAAUCAUGUGGGCUUUACGCAGCUUCAAAUCCCGCCGUUUAGGUUGACUGAACUUUUUGAUACUGUUGCAUAGAUCACUUUCAGUUCUUCUUGAUGAUAAAUUAAUUUUUGUUGCAAUACAUUUUCUACUGUUUUUUAAUGAUCUGGGUAGAUAAACUAGUGACUUACUGGUCAGUUACUAAGCAUCGAAACUCAACCAUCACCGUAAAUGGAUAGAAAAAUCACGCGACUUCCUUCCGUAGUUCUUAUUGCCCGUAAUUCUUUCUUUUACUUUUUUAUUAUAUUUCUAAUUUUUUAAUUUCUGUUUUUAGCUUGAAUUUUGGAUGUUGAGACCCACUUUUGCAUUAUUGUUAAAUGGUUUUUGGUCUCCUCUUUGCAAGGUAAUUAGCUUUAUUCCAUCUAUUUGCUACCACUGUACCUAAACAUUUUUUUUUCUUUUCUAGCUCAAAAUUUACAUUACAUAUCAUUUUCUAAAAAUAUCUGUUAAAUUUUUGGUUGGAAAUAAUCACAACGGCUCUAUUGAAUUGUUAAUUGCUAAAUUGUAUAUGUACCAAGUGUUGUUUAUUGAUUCCGUCCAAAAAAAAAGUGUUGUUUAUUGAUCUAGUUGUUUGACUACUGAUUGAUCAAGAUCAUUGGUGGGAAACAAGGAGAGUAUUUUUGAUAUUGUAGAUUUAAUAGUACUUUAAUUUGAACAUUUUUAAUCCUUAUUUGUGGGGUCUUUGGUUAUUCUUUCCCAUUGUUUUUGGGGAUGAGUCCGUCUUGGGUAUUGGGUACUGCAGGAGUAGUUCAUUCAAUACUAGGUCGGGUCAUUUUGGUUUUCUUGGAUGUUUAUAGCUUUGCGGUUGUUUGAUAGCUGAUAAUUAUCACCUUUCAAGAUUAAAUUAAAUUUCUAAUGCAAUGUGUGAAGGCAUGGAUAGAUUAGAUAACAAACUAGUGGUAGUUCGCUAAAUUCUGUUAUGUUUUAUCUGGAUCUAUAAUAAUUUAUUGUUAUGUGUUUGUUUUAUUUGUGAAUUAAUUUGCUCAGAACCCGGUAUCUUCUGCAUUUCAUGGAAAAGGGAGGUGACACAUUCUUAGAUCAUUACAAAAUUGCAUGUCCACUACUUUCUCUUUAGUUAGUGGACAGGCAAGUGGUUAUCCGCUAUCACUUGAAAUCAUGUCCCCGCAGUUUCAAAUUCUGCCAUUCACGUUUUGACUCAACCUUUGGAUAUGCAGAUUAUGCACCGACACACUGUUGUAUAUAUCACUAUCGGUUUUCCUAGGUUUAUGAUACAUUUCUAUUGCGAUGCAUAUGAUACGACUUUUAAAUAUCUGGGUAGAUAAUAUAAUGAACUAGUGCUCUUCACUAAAUUUCUGUCAAAUUUGUUCUAAUCUUUUUAAUAUUUUACUGUUCGGGUUAGGUUUGUGAGUCAACUUGCUUAGAAUCUUGUAUGUGCUGCUUCCACGGAAAAGAGGUUGACAUUCUGCAGAUUAUUUACUCAUUCUUAGCUUAUUACAAAAUUGCAUGUCCACUACCACUUCUCAAAUAAGUGGACGUAAUAUUAUUCUAAUAAUCAUUGUUAGCUUAUUACAAAAUUGCUUGUCCACUACCACUUCUAAUGUGGGCUUAUCCCGCACAGGUUCGAAUCCUACUGUACACAUUGCAAAUUUUUGUACCUUUAUUAUUUACACUACAUUGCUGCUUAAAACAUUAAUUUGGAAACUAGAAUGCUUAUGGAUGUUUGUUCCAAAUUCUGUAGCAGUACAGUUUUUUGCAUUGCUUAUAGCGAAUCUAUAUGACAUUUUUGUGGUUUUAUAUCAUCCUUGCUAAACAUUCCCUUUGCCACUGGGUUUUGUCUUUGUAGUUUCCAAUUCAAGAGAUAUUUAGAAGUAUUUAUCUGCCGACUGCAACCAGUUCCUCUAUCCGGCCAUGUCCAUCUCACAAACUGAAUAAGGAAAAGUGUUGGUAUUUGAUUCCUUUGCUGGCGCUAUUGUUGGUUUAUUGUAUUCAUUUGAAUUAAAAAAUACAUGAAUUGGAAAUGAGGUGGAUGUGCUGGAGUGGUUAUAGGCUACGACCAGAAAUCAUUAGGGCUUUGCAUGUACAGGUUUGAAUCCUGCGGCCGUUGUUGUUUUGGGUGUAAGUUGUUCUUGGGUAUUGGGUAGUAGUUAGGUCAUGAGUCCUAGGUGCGGUCAGAUCGGUUUUGUCGGAUGUAUAUAGUUUUGGGAAUGCUUUGGAGCUGAUUACUAUCACUUUCCUAGAUAAUAACAUUACAUUUCUAAUGCAAUGUUUGCGUUGCUUGAUCUAAGGAUAUUUGUGUAUAAGAUUACAAAAUAAUGGUUAUUUACUAAAAUUCUGUUGUGCUUUAUUCUGAUCUCUUUAUUUAUUAUGCCUUUGUUUUCUUUGUGAAUUAAUAUGGUUAGAAGUUAGAACCCUGUAUCUGCUGCAUUUUAUGGGAAAGGGGUCGACAUUCUGCAUAGCAUUAUUAUACGUACUCAUUCUAAGCUCAUUACAAAAUUGCAAGUCCUCUACUGUUUCUUAAGUAACUGGCCUUGCUGGAGUGGUUAUCGUGCACGAGUACAUAUCUCGUGGGCUUCUCCUACCUAGGUUCCAAUUCUGUACUUCACAUUUGCAUAUAUGUACUUCUAUUAUUCACCUUGCUGCUCACGAACAUCGUUCUGGAAUCUAGUGUGCUAAUGGAUGUAUUUACCAAAUUUGAAUCAGUUCAUUUUUGCAUUGCAAAGAGAAACCAGAAAACAUUUGUGUUGCUUUCUGUCAUCCAUGGCUUUAUAUUCUAGCCAUAUUGGUUCAUUGAUUUUUUUACUUGGUUGUUCUUUUGUCUUUGAAGUACUGUUUGAUAAAGUUUUGUUAACCAUUGCAUACAAUUGACAGGAACACGAAAAUUCCCUAUAUAUUUCUAGCCAUACUGGUUCACUGAUUUUUUAUUUGGUUGUUUUGAUUUCAAGCUUUCACCAACAAUGCAUUGACUGUCACACUAUGUUUGGACAAGGUUUUUGGAGGGAAAGGAAGGGAAAUGAAGGGAAGGGAGGGGGAGGAAGCGAAGGGAAAGGGAGGAGGGAAAUAGUGAGGAGAAAUUCUCUUGUUUGUUUAGGUGGAUAUUCAAAAGAAAGGAAAAGAAAAGAAAGUACUGAUAGAAAAUCCCUCCAUUUCCUAUCCUUUUCGAUGUUUCUUUCCCCCACAAUGGUUAUCCAAACAAAGGAAAGCAUUUCCCUCCAAAUCCCUCCCCUUCUUUUAUGGCCAAUUCUAUACGCUCUUCAGUGGUCAUAACUAUGAACAGAUUCUGCAUUCUUUCAUCUACUUUGCCUCUUAGUUUAGAUUCAAGAUUCGUCUAAAAAGUUCACGAGGUUGGUCAAAUUGAUUGCAAAGAAUAUUUUUAUUUUCUUGCACAAGCAAGAGAAUUAACUUAUACUCUUACUUCUAAAAUAAGGAAUGCGCUAGAGCAUAUAUCUGUUCUGACUUGGAAUCAUGUGGGAUUUUCCCACGCAGGUUUGGAUUCUGCCUGUUUUUCUUGCUGGAAUUCAAGAUUUACCACAGGGAAGGCGAUAGGUAUUUCAGAGUGACUGAAGGUGCUGUAGCUACUGUUCUGUAACCAAAAGGUCUGUUGUGAUAAGUUGAUGAUGUUCCUUUUCUGAUUAUAGCAUUAUCCCAUCAUCCUGCUAUUUUUCUUUUGUUCAAUAUUAUUUAAUGACCUUGUAAACUUGUAAGUUACAGUUGAGUAGUUGAUAACAGAUAUCUUUAGCUAUUGCAUAAAUGAUGUGCAUAGUCUAACAUGGAGUGGACGUGCCGGAGUGAUCAUGUGGGCUUUGCCUGCGCAGACUUCUUUAUAGCCGGUGACAUUAACAUGUAGGAAGGUUUAUCAUUUGCGAGGGGUUAUUAAGCAUGACAGAAACAAUGUGGGCUCUGCCGACACAAAUGCUGUUUAAGUUUCAGGUUGCUGUCACUGAAUCACAAUAGUUGUGUUUUGGGUUGUCACUUAUAUGUGAUUUUCUCAGGAGCAGUCAGAAGCCAUUUUGUUUUCCAGGUAUCUUGAAAACUUCUUUGCUUAUUUUUUCUCAUUUUAUCUCGAUUAAGAAAAUUUUUUUAAAGGCAAUGAUAGUAAAAUUUCUUAAGCAUACUUGUGCUGUCUACUGAGAGUUCAGAAUGCAGUCUAGGUACAUGCAUUAUCUUAUGCAGGUUGACGAUUUUUUAUGGCGGCCGUUGGGGGAUUGUUCACACCCGUAGAAACUAGCCCUAGAUCCCUACUCCGUUUUCACGAAUGUCGAUAAACCAGAGUAGUUAUCGGGUAUGACUAAUGGGCUCUGCCGGUGCUGGUUUUCUGUCUGAAUUCUCGUAAUAUUUUUUUGUGUAUUAUUAUUUUGGUUAUUGUGUUGAACUAGAGUUGAUCAUAUGUUGGACCACUCCACUAAUUUGAAAUGGAAAUCCAGGUAAAUUUGACUUUGAUUGGCUCUUCGCUCUUCAUACUUAUCAGCAUUGUAUCUUGAUGUCAUUAAGUGUUUUGUUUUUUUUUUUUUUUUUUUUUUUUUUUUUUUUUUUUAAUCUAGGCUUCGUUUUAGGCGAGCAAGGGAUUUACUAUACGCAACUUAAUUUAGCCUUGUAAAAAUGAAGUGAUCAUUUUCAAAUGACUGGAU